UGGGGAAUUUUGGACAAUGGGCGAAAGCCUGAUCCAGCAAUGCCGCGUGUGUGAAGAAGGCCUUCGGGUUGUAAAGCACUUUUGUCCGGAAAGAAAUCCUUGGCUCUAAUACAGUCGGGGGAUGACGGUACCGGAAGAAUAAGCACCGGCUAACUACGUGCCAGCAGCCGCGGUAAUACGUAGGGUGCAAGCGUUAAUCGGAAUUACUGGGCGUAAAGCGUGCGCAGGCGGUUUGCUAAGACCGAUGUGAAAUCCCCGGGCUCAACCUGGGAACUGCAUUGGUGACUGGCAGGCUAGAGUAUGGCAGAGGGGGGUAGAAUUCCACGUGUAGCAGUGAAAUGCGUAGAGAUGUGGAGGAAUACCGAUGGCGAAGGCAGCCCCCUGGGCCAAGUACUGACGCUCAUGCACGAAAGCGUGGGGAGCAAACAGGAUUAGAUACCCUGGUAGUCCACGCCCUAAACGAUGUCAACUAGUUGUUGGGGGAUUCAUUUCCUUAGUAACGUAGCUAACGCGUGAAGUUGACCGCCUGGGGAGUACGGUCGCAAGAUUAAAACUCAAAGGAAUUGACGGGGUCAUAGCUGUUUCCU
rnacentral:rRNA from 1 species